rnacentral:rRNA from 1 species
UACGGAGGGUGCGAGCGUUAAUCGGAAUCACUGGGCGUAAAGCGCGCGUAGGCGGCUUUUCAAGUCAGGGGUGAAAUCUCACGGCCCAACCGUGGAACUGCCUUUGAAACUGUAGAGCUUGAGUGUCGGAGAGGGUGGCGGAAUUCCAGGUGUAGGAGUGAAAUCCGUAGAUAUCUGGAGGAACACCGGUGGCGAAGGCGGCCACCUGGACGACAACUGACGCUGAGGUGCGAAAGCGUGGGUAGCAAACAGG